UUAUAAUGUUUAAUUUUUUCCCCGCUGUUUGAGCUCUCCAUAAAUCAAGUGGAGAUGUCAACUUUGUGUCAACAUUUCACUCAGCCUGCAGGUUACGGGCAAGCCGGGACAGCAGAUCUCAUGGAGAAGGUUGACUCUUCUCUUCGCUGUCUUUCCUAUUUUGAUGAAACAAUAAGAAGGUGGAGUCGAAGUGAACAAUGAAGACACUGGGCUCUAUGAAGAAUGGUGGUCCUCCAUUUCUUCUCCUCCAUACCUACACCAGCAGACGUGUUAGGAGGAAUCUGGCCUUAUGUUAAAACCAAAGUGCCUGGUAGAUGCAGAUUGAGCAGAAUGGGUUUUGCUUACCCAAUCCUCACUGACAGGAGAAUUUUGGAGCUCAGUGUGGGCAGCUGCUUUAGAGAGGGUGGGCUCUAUGCCUCUUGGUGAUUGUGUCUUAAAUACAUUGGUUGCGCUACCCCUUAUUGGAAGACUUUAAAAGCUAUGAAAAUAAGAUGCAAUGAGUGAAUGAGUGCAGGCAUAGGGAGGGAGCCUGUCCCAGGUGGGCACGCAGCUUCAGGGACCUCUGCAUGGUCAGCAUGGGUCAACCCCACUGCUGGCAGGGGUGAGGCUUGCAUGGGUUAAAAACCUCAGACAAAACCUCUGUUGCUACAUUGCAUUGCUUGGGAAAUGCAAACAGAGGAAGGAGAGGUGGAGAAGAGCCAUAGGAAAUACCUUCUGCUUUAUCUUUUCCACCUCCGGGAACUUGGCCACAAACUUGAACCAAGCUCAAAUCAAACCAUCUCUAUGCAUCUCCAAAGAACGGCACGAAGAGUCUCAAAGCAUCUCCUUGGCUCUUGAUUGGAAACCCCAAACUCCUGUGGUCGGAGACACGAUGCCAAAAUGUGGGCCUGACCUCCAAAACGAGUGGUAGAACAGGGAAUGAAGUAUGGGAGCUGACCUUGUUCCUGAGCUAGCUUAAGUGUUCAGCAUUGCUCCAGCUGCCAAACCUUCAUCCUCAGCACCAACAGCCAGAGAUGUUUUUGGGCUUCAGCUUGAACAAGCAGACCCAGUUGUUCUUUUUGCCAUUUCAAGUCACGGAGGGGAAAGGGCAUAAUUACUGCUUCUAGUUCUUCAUUAUUGCUGCAGAGAUCUGAACUCUUUUGAGAACUUGUUGGAACAGCCCCAUCGGGUGCAUGGAAAUGGAAAUCUGCUGAGUUUUUUUCCUCUCUUUAGUUAGCAGAAGCAGUUUUCUGCAACUGGAUUAUUUAUAUAUAAACAGGUCUGCCCUGAACACUGAAUGCAGGUCAUGGAGUGUUCUCCCGUGGGAUGUGGUCAUGCAAAGUCCCACCCAUUGACUCACUGUUUGGGCCAAAGAGGUAACCUUAGUCUGGCUUUUCGAGGCUGUAUGCAAUGCAAUAGAACUCAGCAAACAUUCAAGAUCAGGCUGUGCUCCAAAACGCUCCUAAUCCAAGGAGGGACUUACAGCAAGCAAUAAUGAACUCUCGCCUGAGGGCUGGGGGUAAAAGCCAGAGCUGUGUGGUGAGAAGCUGAAGGGUGUUGGGCCUUAGGAAUCCUGCUCAGCCAUGGAUGGAGCCAGCUGUGAAACACCACUGCCAAUCAAACUCGGGCUGUGUGUGUUGCAAGACUUCCCCUUUCACUUCCCAGAAGCUCUGUAGCUGUUCAUGCCCAGCAUUAAGAGACAGAGCUGUGAUACCUCAACAGGGCAUGAUUUCCUCCCCUUUCCAGUGUAGGGAAUAUCUUCAGUAGUGAAGAGCCACCAAGCAACGUGGAUGGAAGAAGUUUUGCCACGUAUCCCAAGAGGCCCCAAUGGCUGAGGGCCCCAGUGCAGCUGAAAUGAGCAAGAUAAAUAACUGUGAAGAAACAGAAUGCCAGUGAGGUGUGUGUCUGUGGAUGCUUGCAUGGGAAAUGGGGGACAUCUCUAAUGAAUAUUGAAGCCAAAUCCACAUUUCUCACAAUCAAAACUCACCAAAAAUGCAAUUUCUGUCCGGGAAUGACAACACCUUGCAAACGUUGCCAUAAAUCUCACCUGCAUUUCAGGGCGAUGCUAAAAUUUCCAAUUCCCUUUACUCAGAUACACAGCAGUGCAGCAAUUCAUGCCAGGGAAACCAAAGCCAGGCCUGGGCUGAAGGACUGAUAACAUUCAGCAGCGUUGCUGUGACAGCUCUUUUCUUCCUGAAGCUCCUAAGUGUUUUUGCUCUUAGGAUUUUAAUGGACCUCUGAGAAAAGAGCAGUGUCAAAACAGGAGCUCAGAUUACCAAAGUUAUUAUACUGUUAUGUACAAUGAGUGAUUAUUUUAUGUAUGUAUAAACUUUUUUUUUUUUUUUUUG